UUAGACCUUGUAUAAACAUACUCAAAGUCAGGGCCUCAUCGUCAACGAUAUGACAUUUCAUUCGAAAUUCCUCAAAUUGAGCAAUGUACUCAGUUACUAGCCAAUUUCCUUGUGUAAGGGUGUUCCAUUGAGUAAAAAUUUCAUGGUCUAAGCAACCAUCGAACGUAGGAGUAUCUAAUUUAAUGUCUCUAAAGAAACGCUCUUUAUGACGAGGAAGAGAAUGAGUA
rnacentral:lncRNA from 1 species